rnacentral:rRNA from 1 species
UACAGAGGUCUCAAGCGUUGUUCGGAUUCAUUGGGCGUAAAGGGUGCGUAGGCGGCGCGGUAAGUCGGGUGUGAAAGCCCCCCGGCUCAACUGGGGGAGGGUCAUUCGAUACUGAUCGACUCGAAGGCAGGAGAGGGUAGUGGAAUUCCCGGUGUAGUGGUGAAAUGCGUAGAUAUCGGAAGGAACACCAGUGGCGAAGGCGGCUCUCUGGGACGGUACUGACGCUGAGACGCGAAAGCGUGGGGAGCGAACAGG